rnacentral:lncRNA from 1 species
GGUAGAGAUCUGCCCAAAAAACAGCCUAUCCCAGACAGCAAAACCACAAGCAUCGCCAGCAGGAACGGAGCAAAGUGCGCGGGGCGGAGGAAAGGGAAGAGCGAGGGAAGGACACGGGAUCCAACCGACGCUUUCAAGUGGGUUUGAAGGUGCUUGGAGGCAUCCCCCUUCAUUGAUUCUUCCAGACUCAGACUACAUAGGAAAGCGCUAACCCAACGGUCUCUUCCAUGGCUGCAGGGAGUGACCCAACUGGGCAAUAAGGGAAUGAAGAAUGGACAGACAUACAGACAGACACAGAAAAGCUGAAAUGAGGUCAUCUGGACUCUCUGACAGAGAAGCUACAGCCCUCCCCACCUCCCAGGAUCAUGAGUACCGCAGGCUAGCACCAAACUCCCUAUGUAGACCAUGACGAGGCACAGGUUCCCAAACCCAAGGUGUCUGUGGUAGUCAAGGUUAUCUGCAGGAAGAAUAGAGUAUAUUGCUCUCUCAACAAAGCGAAAGCUGAAUUU